rnacentral:misc_RNA from 1 species
UGUUCCCGCCAGAGAAUAGAGUGAGUUGGGUGAUUUGGGGUUCCAUUUCCUCUCUGCUCGUUACCAGUACUUUGACUAAAAUGGCGUCUUCUUCAUCCAAAACCCUAAAGGACCUAUGGAAGCAACCAGCAGCAAAGCGUCUAAAACAGGUGUCUUCUACCGAAAACUUCAUUUCUAGCGCCUUGGCAUCUUCAUCUUCGCGUAAAGACUGUGACGAAGACCCCAAAGACGUAGUGUCCUCAACGCCGGAGCAAAAUUCGAGAAUGGAGUUCAACCGAUCACUCGCAAAGUCCAAACGGAACCUCAAACUAUGUUCUGAUAAAAUCUCCAAAUUAAACGCAAACGGUGAAGGGGGUGGAUACGUG